GUAGCUCAGUCGGUAGAGCAAAGGACUGAAAAUCCUUGUGUCGGCGGUUCGAUUCCGUCC
rnacentral:tRNA from 1 species